AUAUAUAUAAUACCACCAAAAGAAAGUAUUGAAACAAGUUAAUCUUUAUGUACAAGGGAAUUUCAGGAACCAAACUUAUCCUUCGUGUUGACAUCUUCCUGCUCGCGAAUUCCUUUUCGUUUAUUUGACUGUGAGAUAAUUGCUUGCUGUCCAGAGCUACUAUAACCUCCAUAGCAGCUAUCUUGUCUAUCCAACUAUCUUUUGCUGCUGUUAUGAUGCCCCUCCAAUGCUGUUUUCUGCUCGAUUUGUCCACCUUGUCCAAGGCUGCUAGAAUUUGCAAUUACUGGAGAGCUUGUUCUUGUGUUUAUUUGGUUUUCGAUGUUCUUUGCUUGCUUGGGAACAUCUUUUUGCUGCUCUGAUGAUGGAUUUCGAGCACUGCUCACUAUUUUCGGAAGGCUGUGUCCAUAUUUGUAUUAUCUUCGUUCUUAAAACCCGGUUGCUUACCAAAAUCCUUUUGUUUCUCAAUCUUCAGUUGUGGACCUUUUGGCUGCUCUUCCAAUGAACGUUCAGGGUUACUAUUGUUUCCCUUCUGGGGAUUGAGAUCCUUGCCAUUGUUAACAUCUCCCUUUGGUAAAGAAUCGUGAACCGGCUGUUUUGUGCCACCAGUUUUCUUUCCCAAAUCCUGAUCAGAGCUGCCUGAGGUUCCCAGCAAUUUAUCCUUCUCAUUCUUCAGUGGUGGACCCUUUGGCUGCUCUUUUGAUGAAUGGUCUAAGCUACUAUUGUUUUCCUUCCGGGGAUUGAGAUCCUUGCCAUUUUUCUUUGUGUCUUCUUGUCUAACAGCUCCUUUUAGUGAAGAAUUGUGAACCGCCUGUUCUGUGCCACCAGUUUUCUUUCCCGAAUCCUGAUCAGAGCUGCCUGAAGUUCCCAGCAGUUUAUCCUUCUUGCUCUUCUCUCCAACUCCAGGGCUUUCACUGUUGUGUUCUCGUUUCUGGUUUAGUUGUACUGAUGCCUGUCCAGAGCUGCUGCUCUUAGUUUUUGCCUUAGCCGCGCUGUCAUUUGCAGAUUAUUGACCCGAGGCCUGUCCUAAAUUGCUCUGUUUUUUUGCAGACGCAUUAUCAUUUGCAGAUUGUUGACCCGACGCCUGUCCAGAGGUGCUCUUAUUCUUUUCAGUUGUUGAAAUGUCAUUUGCAGAUUGUUGACCAGAGGCCGGCUGUCCAGAGUUGCUCUUAUUUGUUGCAGUAGUGGCGUUGUCCAUUGCAGAUUGUUGACCAGAUGCCUGUCCAGAGCUGCUCUUAUUGUUUGGAAUAGUAUUGCUGCCACCUGCAGAUUGUCCACCAUUCAUUUCUGUAUUUGUGGACUGUUUUCCAUUCCCAGCUUGACCCUCAAUUUUUGAAGAACUUUGUUCAUCACAACAACAGCCACAACAACACCAGUAACAACACCAGUCACAAAAACUUUUCCUGGAAUCUGGUUGAGCAGGACUGUUGCGUUCGUCAGAGCCACUGUUUAGCUUGUAUCCUGUAUUGGCCUGACGCUUCCACCUACUAGCCAUACUUUCAGAGUUUGUAUGUAAAUAAUUGUGUUGGUUUUAAAAAGAAGAUGUCCCUGGUGUAUUACUUAAUAAGUUUAAACAAUCCUCCUAAAAAAUUGUCUACAAA